rnacentral:rRNA from 1 species
GUAGGGAAUCUUGCGCAAUGGGCGAAAGCCUGACGCAGCCAUGCCGCGUGAAUGAUGAAGGUCUUAGGAUUGUAAAAUUCUUUCACCGGGGACGAUAAUGACGGUACCCGGAGAAGAAGCCCCGGCUAACUUCGUGCCAGCAGCCGCGGUAAUACGAAGGGGGCUAGCGUUGCUCGGAAUUACUGGGCGUAAAGGGAGCGUAGGCGGAUAGUUUAGUCAGAGGUGAAAGCCCAGGGCUUAACCUUGGAAUUGCCUUUGAUACUGGCUAUCUUGAGUAUGGAAGAGGUAAGUGGAAUUCCGAGUGUAGAGGUGAAAUUCGUAGAUAUUCGGAGGAACACCAGUGGCGAAGGCGGCUUACUGGUCCAUUACUGACGCUGAGGUGCGAAAGCGUGGGGAGCAAACAGGAUUAGAUACCCGGGUAGUCC